rnacentral:rRNA from 1 species
GAUGAACGCUGGCGGCGUGCCUAAUACAUGCAAGUCGAGCGAACAGACGAGGAGCUUGCUCCUCUGACGUUAGCGGCGGACGGGCGAGUAACACGUGGAUAACCUACCUAUAAGACUGGGAUAACUUCGGGAAACCGGAGCUAAUACCGGAUAAUAUAUUGAACCGCAUGGUUCAAUAGUGAAAGACGGUUUUGCUGUCACUUAUAGAUGGAUCCGCGCCGCAUUAGCUAGUUGGUAAGGUAACGGCUUACCAAGGCAACGAUGCGUAGCCGACCUGAGAGGGUGAUCGGCCACACUGGAACUGAGACACGGUCCAGACUCCUACGGGAGGCAGCAGUAGGGAAUCUUCCGCAAUGGGCGAAAGCCUGACGGAGCAACGCCGCGUGAGUGAUGAAGGUCUUCGGAUCGUAAAACUCUGUUAUUAGGGAAGAACAAAUGUGUAAGUAACUAUGCACGUCUUGACGGUACCUAAUCAGAAAGCCAUGGCUAACUACGUG